UACGUAGGGCGCAAGCGUUAUCCGGAGUUACUGGGCGUAAAGGGCUCGUAGGCGGCCAACUAAGUCGGAUGUGAAAUCCCCAGGCUUAACCUGGGAACUGCAUCCGAUACUGGAUGGCUUGAAUCCGGGAGAGGGAUGCGGAAUUCCAGGUGUAGCGGUGAAAUGCGUAGAUAUCUGGAGGAACACCGGUGGCGAAGGCGGCAUCCUGGACCGGCAUUGACGCUGAGGAGCGAAAGCCAGGGGAGCAAACGGG
rnacentral:rRNA from 1 species